GACUGGAUAGCUCAGUUGGUUAGAGCAUGGUGCUGAUAAUGCUCAGGUUGCAGGUUCAAUUCUGGUCUGGGACA